AGCAGAUGGUCAAUAUUUUAUUUUAUUUCCUUUUUUCUCCAGUUUGUAGCCUCAGGCAUUGUCUACUGCAGACUUUUCAAACCAGAUCUGAAUAAAGAUGUGGAUAUUUUCCUCCGGUCUUUCUUGUACCCUCCGUCUUCAUCAAUGUUGGCUGCUUCAAAUACUGGUUUACUUCCACUGCUGUGAAGAUGCUGCCUCCUUUGGUGGAUGGAGGACUGAGGCACUGAGAGAGUUCAAUGUCUGGAUGGUGUGUGCCUGCAGGGGCAGCUGAACCUCCUUUCCCUUGAGCAGCACACUCAAGUGUGUUGGCCAUCACUGUUCCCAUCUAUUUCACCCGCGGGCAUUAACAGAAUAUAUAUGUCUGCAGGGGAAAAAAAGAGCUGCAAGGGAACCUGAAAUUCAUGUCAGUGUGUUUCAGUGACUGGACUUUGCAGUGAUGAACAGAAACAAUGAAAGGAUGAUCCCAGAAUAACCAGGCUCCAGGUAGUUCCUGAUCACCAUAGGAAAUGAGUACCGAAAGCUCUGCCAGGUGCCAGCUGCUGCUACAGACUGAGAAGAACACAUAGAGUAAUUUCUCCCAUCCCAAUGUGGUGCACAGCUUUUGCUUCCCGAGAACAGAGCCCAUGUGGGAGGACUUGUCCCAUCAUCCAGUCUAACCCACUGACCACUGCUGUCAUGCUCCUGUCUUCAGUCAGGUCCAACCAGCAGGAGAUCUGUACCAAGGAUAGAGCAGCUGUGUCUCUUUGUAUUGGGCAGGGUUUCACUGGGUUGUCCUUGGGGUCCCAGUCCUUCUGUACACCUUCCUGAAGUAAUGAGCUGAAAGAAGUCUUCUUUUUAUAGAAAGUUAUGCAAAGGAGCUACACAAGUUCUUUGAUUCUGCCUUUGCAUCCCAAAAUAUACGUCUUUCUUCCUGAUCCUGUAUGAUCUUCAUUUACCAUACAAAAAUAAAUUAUCUGCAGGAGAAUAAGGGCAAGCUGAAAACUUAUUUAUCACCCAACCAUUAUAAUGCGGUUGAUGAUCAAACAACCUGUGAAGCUGAGAUAAUUUUCUUCAUCUUCAAGUAGCCACUGGAAAGGCUCAUUACAUGCCUGAAGUUGCAUUGCUUAGCAACAGCAUUUCAGAAAUUCAAGUUAUCAGCAUGAUCACUAAUAAGACAGUAAGCUGCAACAGAAUUCUGAAUAAACUAAAUGCAUUUGCAUUUCAAAAUAAAUGAGAGUAAAUGUCAGAUUGUGUUUUGGAGUAUACGAACUCUUCCUAGCAUAGACACAUUGCAUUUACUCAAGCACUUGCACAAUAGAGAAAAAUCUGAAAUGUUUCUAAAAUACAACACGUUUGGGAGUUUCAAAUAUGUUACUACUCUUCUGAUGUUAGCUGAAGGUAAAGAAGUCUGCCCUCAAAAAGAAAUACACUGUCAGCAAAUGACACACGAGAAUGAUUAGAAGUAAUACUUCUACAGGGGAACACAGCUAUGAACAGGAGUUUCUGAAGGACGAAAACACAAUAAGCCUGCUGUAAUGAACAAGAUGCACCUGAAAGACAAUUUGGUUUACUUAAACCGUGUUUGGAAACUCUUAUUUAAGUGUAAAACCUCCUUGUCCUCUCUGUAACAACAUCAACAGGUAACAGAAGCAUAGUUAGCAAAACAGAGAAAGUUUGGGACUCCUCCGCAGCCUUGGAUUUCUACGUAAUGUACAGAAAGUGGAGUCAUGGGAUAAUCAGUGAAAUCAGUGUGGGAGCUGUCCAUGCCUGAUGGUAACGCACUGCCUUUCCCACCUGUUCUUAACACCGAGCUGAUCAGGAACAAAAGAACCCGACAGCAAUCGUGGAGCAUGUGUUUGGAACUUAGCCCCAUUUCAUCUCCAGGCAAUUCACGUGAAAUAUUUCCUUCCUUCAUUCACUCACAGGUACAGCUUUUAGAAGAAAAAAAGCGAGUGCUUAUUCCUGUUCCCUCUCCACGCAAACCCACAUGGAUAUGCCUGUAUGCGCAUACACGUGCUUACUGGUACCUGCGGGGGCAGCUACAGGUAAGUGGAUAAGAUAAUGGCUCUCCACUGCCUUCAGGGUGAACUAUUUAGUGAGCACCAAUCUUCUAGUUAUUAAUUAGGCCUGAAUUAUCAGUUUCAUUGUGAAUUUGUUCAUUGUGGUUAAUCUCAACGAUUUUGUGAGUUACCAUUCCAGAACAUUUUUGAGGUAGCAAGAAAAAGAGCUGGGUAGCCAGGUUUUGUUGUUAGGGGACUGACAGGCAGAAGCAUUAAUUGGAGUGCUUGGUUUCAGAGGCCGAGGAGGUGACACUUCAGGGCCCUCAGCAAUACAGCUCUCCUGUGCUCAGGGCAAGGCUCAUCUCCAUUAGGUUGGCAGCUUCAGGUCUUAGAGCUACUCCAGUCAGGCUCUGGUGUCUCAAGCUUUGCAGCUGAGGAUUAACUGUGAAAAACUGGUCUUCAGAGGCUUGUCUUAACUGAAAGUGUCAGAUCAGUUUUGCAAAGAGCAAGGCUACUUGGAUCGCUGUCCUCUUUCACAUCCCUGAUGGAGAGCUCUUAUUCCUUUAGCACUGUAAGAUCUGUACUUGUAGAGAUUACCUUUUUAAAAAUCUACUCAAAAUGAGUAGGAUAUUUCCUUCCCAGCUACCUCCCAAAAAGAGGGCAGGAUUCAUCCGUUAGGCUUUUUGUGGGUAUGAGUUGUCAGGAAACAAAGACAAAUUCCAAACAAGUUUUCUCUAGCCUAGAGGUCAGUCCAUGGGAGAGCAUUUUUACCUGCAAGAGAAGAACAUGAAUCCAAAAGACAGGCAAAUAGAUCUGAAGGAGAGAAAGAGAGCUUGGCUUUGUGUAAGGUUGUUAGGAUGCUUCAGGAAUAUGAAGAUGCACAGUUUAAAUGCCACGCUUUUUUCAAAGCGUAUUCUCAAAAUGCUUUUUCUAAAGCACAGGGUUCUUUUGCAGUAUUUUUCAGGUCUUUUCCAACUUAAAGUCCUGGCCUCAAGUGAUUUCCUCCUGCAAGCAGAUACUAUUUUAAUCUUACAUUUGUUUUGGAUGGGAAGUCAGUAUAUGAGAAGUGGUAUUCUCUCUUAUUUCAAAGCCUAUUGUUGGAAAUAGUUUGGGAACUGCUAUAAUUCUGACGACUGUGAGACUGCUCGUAUUUUGACACCCACACGCUGCUCUUCUGACCUACAAAAUAAGUUAAGAAUGGAAAAUAGUUCACUCUAACUUCAGCCAAGUUUAAUGCUGAAAAUAAAACACGUAGACAACCUUAUAAUUCUUAUAAAUAAUGAUUCUACAGUCCAGCGCAAUAAACGUGAAAAAUAUGGUUUAUGAUAAUGUAUUCUGCAGUGAUGGUAGAAAAAUAGGUCAUCAUCUUGAAAAAGAGAGAAGUAUAUAUCAUGUUGAACACACACAGGAAAAUCAGAGGAGUUUCAGGGGGAGAACAGGACAGCAGCACAUGUUAUCAUUCUUCUGGCCCUCCAUGUUCACAAGCACAGUACACAGAUGAAGUGUUGUGGAGGUGGCAGCUGCAGGUGGGUAUCCCAAGGCCUGCUGCAUUCUGCAUCCCAGAACAAUAAUCUGGAUGGCGUUAACCAAAAUGCGUGAGUUUUUCUGGAAAUAAAGUAAAAAUAAAAUGAGUGUUCAAAAAACAGACAUCGCCAUCUUUAGCUAUGUGAAUGACAUGGUCAGCUGCAAACUCCUAUAGGUGUGAAAUACUGCCGUUAGAGUGGUAAAUCAUGUUUCACCUUUACACUCUUAAACACACAAACACACAGUUGGCCCAAAUGGACUCAUUAGCCUUUUUCUUCAGGCAAACAAUUGAUGCUUUUGUGGUUGGACUGCAAGCAAAAUCUGUGGAUUACGUGGAAAAGUGUGUCCAACACAUCUCUCCAUCAGCACUAGGUAAAGACGAUAAAGGCUGUGGCCAAAGUUGUUUUUGUGUGCAGAACUACUCAGCAACAUAUUUCUCUCUGCAUGCGUAGGGUGUGGGGGGCAGCUCCUUUGCACUGAAUGAGGGCAGGAUGCUGAGCCUGUGCUUUAAUAAAUAUUCGACACAAAUCCUUUUGAAGACAUGGAAAGGCAAAGGUUCCAUCAUUCAAUUGGCUUUCUAGAUGGUCAGUGCUGGGUUCAUUUUAGUUCAGUGCUUUUAAUUUUUCUGUGAAAAUUGAUUCAUACGUCGUAUCCACUUUAUCAGUAAGUUACAAAAGAGAAAUUCAUCAAAUCUCACUUUAUUGCACUUUUCUUCUCCCUCUUUGCCUACCACACUUUCUUCAGCAGAUGUUUUUAGCAGAGAAAAAUCCACUUUGAUUUUUCCUUCCCCUCAAACUUGUUUAUCUUUGCCCGGUGCUCCUGAAAGCACGCUGCUUUGUCAGUACCUCAGUAUUCAGGCUACUUCUGCAGACUGAUCUCUAUGUAAACUCACAAUAAUUGGCCUCCAACAGCCAGUUCAGUGGGAGUCUGACAUCUGAAUGCUAAUGCUGGAAUAAAAAGGUUAAUGACAACGUUAACUAAGACUCAUUUGUUAUAACAAUAAGUAAGCUGAUUUGGCUUUAUUUGAUUUUACAUCAAAGAGUUGCCAAUAAAAAGACCAAUAAUUAACAGGCAUCCUAGAAGUAGAUUUAAAAGCAUUGAAAAGGACUUAUCUGAUGAGGAUAGAAGGGCUUCUGCCCACCAGCAGUGGAUGUCUAAAAGCCAAGUUGUCUUCAGGAAUACUCUGGGUUUUCUUUCUACAGUAAGAAAAGAGCACUUCCAGAGGACUGCUCACCAUCCCAGCCUCAGACAUAUUUUUGUUCUGCACUCCUCUUUACAAUGAAAUAACCGAUGUCUGUAUCAUUCACUGCAUUCGUUACUUCUGUAGAAAGAUAUCUAUUGAGAGCCUGAAGGUAUUCUUGCAAAGAUGAUCUGGCAUGAAUUUCCAGUGAAACAUUUGUAGAGGUAAUAUUGCUGAAAAGAAAAGUCUAUCACACAGUGAGAUCAUGGUGUGCUUGAGUCAUGGUGCCAUUCACCCCUUCAUACUUGUAGACAGACGCUUGGUUUAAUACAGAAAUAUUAGAUCUGGAUUUUUUAAAAGUUAUCUUGUUAGAUGGGGGUUGGAAUAAAAGCUUACAUUCAAUCUAAACUCACUUACAAGUGUGCGCUGGGUUCCAGACAACCUUAUAUCCUUACAGCAUGCAGGGCAGCUGUGCCUUCUUGAUUGUCAUGAGAUGGGGUAAAGUUUUGCAUGAGACAACACCAAAUGGUGCAGUUAACACAUAAAAAUAUAAUGUCUUUCAGUCAUAUAAGGCAUUACCUCUGGCCAAAGAAGUGCUGGAGCUCCUGCAGACUGUGAGAAUGUGCUGGGGAUCCGUCCUUGUCCUGUCCUCAAGCAUCUGCUUUAUGGCCACUUUGGAAAUUCAGAGCCUCUGAGAAGUCAAACAGGCAUGAGCAAGUUCACCAGAUGCCUGCUCUGAGGCAAAGGAACAGGCUGUCCAGAGAAGUGGUGGAUGCCCCUAACGUACCCCACAGCACUGUCUGAAAUGUCUCCAAGGAGGAGAACAAGCAGGUGUCCAGUCGUUUAUAAUGGGAAAGCUCAGAGGAGAGAGGAGGUGGAGGAAAGGAGUCCCGAAGGGCAGACUUCUCAAAGGCUCCUGUGUUCUCCCAGCCUGGCAGGGGGAAGGAAGCUGCGCUGAAGUCAGUCUGGGAAUUUUCUAACCCCAGGCAGUAACAGCGGCCAAUCUGGCAUUAUGGCUUUAUAUAUAUCUGUAGUAUUUUUCACAGCUGCAAAAUGAAUGCUGAGAGGUUUCAAAUAGCUUAGAAGCUGGCCUAUAGCUGGCCUCUAGCAGUACAAUUCACUCUGACUUUUAUUAGCUCAGCUUUACUCGGCGUAAAAGUUAAGCUAAAGAAAAUUCUCUUUUACAGUGUACAAAUUAUGCAGAUACCAAAACAGUAUCUAAAGAACAUAUGUUUGCUGCGGUACAUUAACAUCAUCACAGUCAGGUAGGGAUGUGUAUGUUUAAGUAUGUUACCAGGUAGCCAGCACGUGAUAUGGAGCCUGACUGGGUUCCAUGGAAAUUUUAUCUGUGCCAACAGAGCUUAGCAGAGAAUUAACUCAUAUAUUACUUCCCAGAAUUACCCCAAAAGGCCCUGCGGUGGACAUGAACAUGGCUGCUACUGAGAGUGAGCUGCUAACAAUUUGAAUUUCGACUCUCUUUCAUGGAUAUCCUGUGGUUUGCCUAAUAAGGCCUCCAGGGACUCUGGUGCCGUUGCAUGGAUUUCCCACACAAUGUAUGGUGCAGGGUCAGGUUUUUCUUUCAGGGAGCAGAUGGCUUUAGAUGCUAAUCUCUGCAAAUUCCCACUGACCUCUCAUCCGUGCGUGGUUCUCUGCUGAAGAGUUGGUUCUGCCUGCCUCCUCUGUCCUUUCUUCACCGCAACGGGAAGAUUUUUAGAGGCAUUUUGGGAGGAGAGUUUUGGUUGCAGGCUGAGCCCCCAAAAUACAAGAAACGCCCCUCCUUUCCCUGAUUUCUGUUCGAUUGUUCGUGCUGGUUUUGUUUUGUUCUGCUCUGUUUUUUUUUUGUUUUCCCCGGCUUUGUGACCACUGAGAAAAAACGAGGGGGAGGGUCUUUUGUGUGUGUGAACAAAACGCUGUGGUGAGACGAGACGUAAUGCAGUUUCCCGCGUCAGCCGUUGGUGUCGGCUCGUUUUUUACCUUCUGCCUCCCUCUCAGAACCAGAAGCGCUCUCCUUCAUUUCUAUCCGCUUCAUCACUGUGUGUUACUGAAGAGAACAAUCCCGCGUUCCCAAACGCGCUCUGUGGGCAGCGCUUGUGUCGCUACGAGACACGCCGAGCCUCGGGCUGCAGAAGAGGCUGUAACACUUCACAUGGGACUUGAUCUCCAUUACUUGGC
ensembl:lncRNA